rnacentral:tRNA from 1 species
CAGUUAAUAGUUUAUCAAAAAUUUAGGUUUUGGAGAUCUAGGAUAUAUAUAUAUAUAUUUAACUGA